ensembl:lncRNA
UUUGGCUUCAUCCUGCCGAGUUCCGCCUCGGCUCCUAGAGGACCCUCCGUGUCCUGCUACCGCUGGAAGUGGGUCCCCCCGGUCCCAAACGAGGUUCUUCGUGGAGGGUCCGAGAAUCGCUUUGCCAACAUAACAUUCCUUGAGUUGUUUCAGGGUCUAGUCCUUUUCUGGAAUCCUGGGUCGACAACUCUGUCUUGCUGCUGUGCCUACACGCUUGUUCUUCUGUCAGCUUCACAAGCUGGUCCCCCCUCUUCUCCAGGCGUAUUCCCACACAUCCUGUUGGUCUCAUCUUUUGUACGGCUUCCUCUGCAAAGCAUUCCUGGACUUCCCAAGUCUGGCUUAGAUGUUCCUGGGAAGAAUUCCCAACACCUCCUAUGAGUCACUGCCUUGUGGUUAGGAUAAAUCCAGGACUUUAUAGAGAUUAUUUCUUUCUUUUGACACAGCAGCUGUAUGGAGCUGUUUUCGGUCAAGGACACUUGCCUUUGGCUGGAAAAAUACUAAAAUUUUGCUUUUUCGUUUUGUAAUUAGUGAGCAAUGAGGCAACAGAACCCCCCUUAUCCCACAUCUCACGGGAUGCUGUCACAUGAUAGAAGCUUAAGAAAUUUAUGUAUUAAAAGGAUAAGGAAAUGAAUGAAUUCCACAUUGUAUUGCAUAACCAACACUCCCCUCUCUCUCAUGCUUCCAUUUUAGUGAAUGGUUAAUGUGGAACCAAGAAUCAAAUCAAGUUAUUCUAUAACUCAGCUUAAACCUAGUACAUUGUAUUUUAAGGGGGGAUUCCUGAAAGCACAAACUGACUCAGAAACAGAGUCCAGUUUCGAGGGAACUAUUCUCUGUUAGGGAGAAGAGCUUGAAUUGACUCUCAUCUAACUUGGAUUUACAACCUGCAGAUUACAUUCACUUGUUGAGACGUGUAUUGAGUUCCUAGUAUGUGUCAAGCUCUAUUCUAGAAGCUGGGGUUAAUGGCGAUGAACAAACAUGCAAGAACCUGUCACUCAAGUGGAAGAAGGCAGACAAUCCAGAAGGAAAUUAGAUAGUUUUAAAAGGUGGUAAAUGCCACAGAAAAUAAAGCAGGUAAUAAGGCUUUGGUGGGAUUCAAGGAGGAAGUACUUCAGUUAGGGAAGUGAUUUCCAAUGCACAAUCUGGGAACAAGAAUGAGUUCCAGGGGCCAGCCCGGUGGCACAGCAGUUAAGUGUGCACAUUCUGCUUUGGUGGCCUGGGGUUCACCGGUUCGAAUCCUGGGUGCGGACAUGGCACUGCUUGGCAAGCCAUGCUGUGGUAGCUGUCCCACGUAUAAAAUAGAGGAAGAUGGGCAUAGAUGUUAGCUCAGGGCCAGUCUUCCUCAAAAAAAAAAAAAAAAAGAAUGAGUUCCAUUGCCAGGGCAAUAAGGGGAUGGAAUAUCCCAAUCUAGGAGAGGCAUAUCUCUAAUUAUACAUACAUAAUUGACAACGUGAUUUAAAGAUUAGUCAUUUGGUUAGUUUGAUUCAUUUUAAUAAUUUCCAAGAGCCUGAAUAAUUCUGUGUAUACUGACUAAAUUUGAUUUUCGACUGCAAGUGCUGAGAGCCAGACUCCAGAAUGUGGUGCCCAUCCCAAAGUAUUGUUGCUCGUGGACGCCUGACUAGAACAUUGUCCAGCAACUAGAAUGGCCCCAUUCCUUCAUUACUUUCUCACAUCCUGACCCACAAUUUCACUAACUGGGGGGAGAAGAGUGUGCAGUGUUAAGAACUCCUGGCUCCAAUUACUAGCUGCAUGACCUCAAGCAAAGUAUUCCUCAGCUAUAAAGUGGGGAUAACAUACGACAUACCUUUCUGAAAGGUUUCUGGCUUGAUGUAUGCCUACUUACAACUUACCAUAAAAGGAGCCUCAUGUAUACUUCCAACAGUCCCCCAACCCCUUAUGCCAAAAGCAAAUAAAAACAAUCCAGUUGAAAGCAAUGUGUGAGCUGAUAAGACUAUUUACAGCACUGUGUGAAGAGGAGUGAA